AUUGAACGCUGGCGGCAGGCCUAACACAUGCAAGUCGAGCGGUAGAGAGGUGCUUGCACCUCUUGAGAGCGGCGGACGGGUGAGUAAUGCCUAGGAAUCUGCCUGGUAGUGGGGGAUAACGCUCGGAAACGGACGCUAAUACCGCAUACGUCCUACGGGAGAAAGCAGGGGACCUUCGGGCCUUGCGCUAUCAGAUGAGCCUAGGUCGGAUUAGCUAGUUGGUGAGGUAAUGGCUCACCAAGGCGACGAUCCGUAACUGGUCUGAGAGGAUGAUCAGUCACACUGGAACUGAGGCACGGUCCAGAUUCCCACGGGAGGCAGCAGUGGGGGAUAUUGGACAAUAGGCGAAAGCCUGAUCCAGCCAUGCCGCGUGUGUGAAGAAGGUCUUCGGAUUGUAAAGCACUUUAAGUUGGGAGGAAGGGUCGUUACCUAAUACGUGACGAUUUUGACGUUACCGACAGAAUAAGCACCGGCUAACUCUGUGCCAGCAGCCGCGGUAAGAC
rnacentral:rRNA from 1 species